rnacentral:rRNA from 1 species
UGGGCGUAAGCGCACGCAGGCGGUCUGUCAAGUCGGAUGUGAAAUCCCCGGCCUCAACCUGGGAACUGCAUUCGAAACUGGCAGGCUAGAGUCUUGUAGAGGGGGGUAGAAUUCCAGGUGUAGCGGUGAAAUGCGUAGAGAUCUGGAGGAAUACCGGUGGCGAAGGCGGCCCCCUGGACAAAGACUGACGCUCAGGUGCGAAAGCGUGGGGAGCAAACAGGAUUAGAUACCCUGGUAGUCCACGCCGUAAACGAUGUCGACUUGGAGGUUGUGCCCUUGAGGCGUGGCUUCCGGAGCUAACGCGUUAAGUCGACCGCCUGGGGAGUACGGCCGCAAGGUUAAAACUCAAAUGAAUUGACGGGGGCCCGCACAAGCGGUGGAGCAUGUGGUUUAAUUCGAUGCAACGCGAAGAACCUUACCUACUCUUGACAUCCAGAGAACUUUCCAGAGAUGGAUUGGUGCCUUCGGGAACUCUGAGACAGGUGCUGCAUGGCUGUCGUCAGCUCGUGUUGUGAAAUGUUGGGUUAAGUCCCGCAACGAGCGCAACCCUUAUCCUUUGUUGCCAGCGGUUAGGCCGGGAACUCAAAGGAGACUGCCAGUGAUAAACUGGAGGAAGGUGGGGAUGACGUCAAGU